UGUUUUCCGGUCAAGUGAAUUUCUUUCUUCUGUCACUUCCAUUUCAUUUCUUCAUUUAAAAUUAAUUUACACAACGUGGAGGUAGUCAAUCAAAAUGUUUUAUAAACCAACCAAUUUUGUUUCCUUACAAAUUGUCUAGGUUCGAAGAUUUAUAUGUGUACCAUGGAUUUCAAGAAUCACAUGAAAUUAGAGAACGGACAAUGAGACCUUGAAAAAUAUUGUUAAAGGACAAGAAUGUCCUUGAUUUGAAAAUGAUGGGAACAAACAACUGCAUUGUGCACGAAAUAGCUUGCAAAGCAAGGACAGCACGCGGUUCAGAAUUAUGGCGGGAAGAUUAGAGAUGCCACGAACAUGAUUGUAGGUCACGAUUGUAUGAUUUAAUUAACUAGCUUAAGUCUGUUAAUGAAAUUUAAAACAAUAAAUAUGACAUAAAUGUUAAA